GCAGGUCUGUAGAGAGAUAGGCAGGAAGAGAUGAAGGCACUUGGAAAAAGCAUGGUAAGAGCAUGCCUGCUGCCUGGUGCAGACAGCACCUCCACCCCCACACUCAAACACAAAGGCAUGAAGAGGUCUCUGCACAGAGAACUCACUUUCCAAAGAGUUCUUGGUCGUUGGGUCCUUGGCAUCCUUGUUGCUUCUGGCUCUCAGGUUCUGCAGAGGGAAAAACACAUGCUCAUGUGGGAUGACUGAAGAAACUUUGAGAUGGCAAGAAGUUGCAGUCAGGAACCAUAAGCAGAAAGCUUGGCCUUCUUUUCCCCAUCAAGUACCCCAGAUGCAGCAAAUCUCAGGGGGCAUCUGAGCUGAACUGGGACCCAUCAACAGACAAGCACAAAGGAGGCCUUGAAUGCUUCCAUUAGAACAACAUGUUGACAUCAGGUGUCAGAAAUAUGCUGUUCCAAAUAAUGCACUGCAGGAUGCUGAGCAGCACCCUUGGCCUCCACCUGCAGGUGCAGUAGUAUCCUCAGACUCC